rnacentral:rRNA from 1 species
AUUGAACGCUGGCGGCAGGCCUAACACAUGCAAGUCGAGCGGAUGAAGGGAGCUUGCUCCUGGAUUCAGCGGCGGACGGGUGAGUAAUGCCUAGGAAUCUGCCUGGUCGUGGGGGAUAACGUCCGGAAACGGGCGCUAAUACCGCAUACGUCCUGAGGGAGAAAGUGGGGGAUCUUCGGACCUCACGCUAUCAGAUGAGCCUAGGUCGGAUUAGCUAGUUGGUGGGGUAAAGGCCUACCAAGGCGACGAUCCGUAACUGGUCUGAGAGGAUGAUCAGUCACACUGGAACUGAGACACGGUCCAGACUCCUACGGGAGGCAGCAGUGGGGAAUAUUGGACAAUGGGCGAAAGCCUGAUCCAGCCAUGCCGCGUGUGUGAAGAAGGUCUUCGGAUUGUAAAGCACUUUAAGUUGGGAGGAAGGACAGUAAGUUAAUACCUUGCUGUUUUGACGUUACCAACAGAAUAAGCACCGGCUAACUUCGUG